AACGGCCAUACCAUGCUGAAUAUACCGGUUCUCGUUAGAUCACCGAAGUCAAGCAUCAUUGGGCGCGGUCAGUGCUUGGGUGGGUGACCACCUGGGAACACCGC
rnacentral:rRNA from 1 species